rnacentral:rRNA from 1 species
GACAGAGGUGCCGAGCGUUAGGCGGAAUCACUGGGCUUAAAGCGUGUGUAGGCGGACUUCUAAGUACCUUGUGAAAUCCCACGGCUUAACCGUGGAACUGCUUGGUAUACUGGUCGUCUUGAGCCAUCUAGGGGCUGUCGGAACAAAUGGUGGAGCGGUGAAAUGACGUAGAGAUCGUAAGGAAAGACCAGUGGCGAAGGCGAGUUUCUGGACAGUUACUG